CCUACGGGUGGCAGCAGUGAGGAAUAUUGGUCAAUGGACGCAAGUCUGAACCAGCCAUGCCGCGUGCAGGAAGACGGCUCUAUGAGUUGUAAACUGCUGUUGUAAGAGGGUAAACGCAGAGAAGCGAAGCGGUCGGAAAGGAACGUACGAAGAAGGAGCGGCUAACUACGUGCCAGCAGCCGCGGUAAUACGGAGGAUUCAAGCGUUAUCCGGAUUUAUUGGGUUUAAAGGGUGCGUAGGCGGUCGGAUAAGUUAGAGGUGAAAUCCCGAGGCUCAACUUCGGAAUUGCCUCUGAUACUUUUCGGCUAGAGAGUAGUUGCUGUAGGCGGAAUGUAUGGUGUAGCGGUGAAAUGCUUAGAGAUCAUACAGAACACCGAUUGCGAAGGCAGCUUACCACGCUCCUUCUGACGUUGAGGCACGAACGCGUGGGGAGCAAACAGGAUUAGAUACCCCAGUAGUC
rnacentral:rRNA from 1 species